CAAGUCGGGGGAAUCCCAGCAAUGGGGGAACCGGCGUAAGGGGCAGUAAUGUGUGGGUACCUACCGCGGGGUUCGGGAUAGCCAUCAGAGAUGGUGGGUAAUACCGGAUGACGUCGUGAGACCAAAGAUUUAUCGCCCUGUGAGGGGCCCACAUGAUAUUAGCUAGUUGGUGAGGUAACGGCUCACCAAGGCGAAGAUGUCUAGCGGGUGUGAGAGCACGACCCGCGCCACUCGCACUGAGACACUGGCGAGACACCUACGGGUGGCUGCAGUCGAGGAUCUUCGGCAAUGAGCGCAAGCUUGACCGAGCGACGCCGCGUGAGCGAUGAAGGCCUUCGGGUUGUAAAGCUCUUUAGGGGGGGAGAAAAGCCAGCAAUGGUGUGAUCUAUCCCCAAAAUAAGCACGGGCUAAGUUCGUGCCAGCAGCCGCGGUAAGACGAACCGUGCGAACGUUGUUCGGAAUCACUGGGCUUAAAGGGCGCGUAGGCGGGCUGUCCAGUCUGGGGUGAAAUCCCGCGGCUCAACCGUGGAACUGCCUUAGAUACUGACGGCCUCGAGGGAGAUAGGGGCAUGCGGAACUGUAGGUGGAGCGGUGAAAUGCGUUGAUAUCUACAGGAACUCCGGUGGCGAAGGCGGCGUGCUGGAUCUCUUCUGACGCUGAGGCGCGAAAGCUAGGGGAGCAAACGGGAUUAGAUACCCCGGUAGUCCUAGCCCUAAACGAUGGGUACUAGAUAGUAGGCUAGAUAUGGGCUUACUGUCGAAGCUAAAGUGCUAAGUACCCCGCCUGGGGAGUAUGGUCGCAAGGCUGAAACUCAAAGGAAUUGACGGGGGCUCACACAAGCGGUGGAGCAUGUGGCUUAAUUCGAGGCUACGCGAAGAACCUUAUCCCGGACUUGACAUGUGC
rnacentral:rRNA from 1 species